GGCCAGACUCCUACGGGAGGCAGCAGUGAGGAAUAUUGGUCAAUGGGCGAGAGCCUGAACCAGCCAAGUCGCGUGAGGGAGUACUGCCCUAUGGGUUGUAAACCUCUUUUGUCGGGGAGCAAAAGCCGGACGUGUCCGGCUGUGAGAGUACCCGAAGAAAAAGCAUCGGCUAACUCCGUGCCAGCAGCCGCGGUAAUACGGAGGAUGCGAGCGUUAUCCGGAUUUAUUGGGUUUAAAGGGUGCGCAGGCGGCGUGUUAAGUGGGCGGAAAAUUUGGGGGGCCCACCCCGGGCCCGCCGUUGAAACUGGCAGUCUCGAGUUGGAGAGAAGUAUGCGGAAUGCGCGGUGUAGCGGUGAAAUGCAUAGAUAUCGCGCAGAACUCCGAUUGCGAAGGCAGCAUGCCGGCUCCACACUGACGCUGAGGCACGAAAGCGUGGGUAUCGAACAGGAUUAGAUACCCUGGUAC
rnacentral:rRNA from 1 species